UUUGGAUUUUUAUCUUGAUUUCUUGCUAUAGUAAUUAAAGCACUGUAUAGCCCCUUGCAUCUUUGAGAUUUAUAGAUGCAAGGAACAAAUCGAGAAAAAGGUACUCAAUUGGUGCUAUAUUUUGGCUUUUUACGCUUCUUUUGUUGGGUUGUUCAAUAGUUGAGCUUCUCAGAAAUGUGUAUUGGCCAAUAGCU